rnacentral:rRNA from 1 species
ACAGCUCAAAUUUGAAAUCUGGCCCCAGGCCCGAGUUGUAAUUUGCAGAGGAUGCUUUUGGCGCGGUGCCUUCCGAGUUCCCUGGAACGGGACGCCAUAGAGGGUGAGAGCCCCGUACGGUUGGACACCAAGCCUUUGUAAAGCUCCUUCGACGAGUCGAGUAGUUUGGGAAUGCUGCUCAAAAUGGGAGGUAUAUUUCUUCUAAAGCUAAAUAUAGGCCAGAGACCGAUAGCGCACAAGUAGAGUGAUCGAAAGAUGAAAAGCACUUUGAAAAGAGGGUUAAACAGCACGUGAAAUUGUUAAAAGGGAAGCGCUUGUGACCAGACUUGCGUCCGGUGAAUCACCCAGCUCUCGCGGCUGGGGCACUUCGCCGGCACAGGCCAGCAUCAGCUUGCCGUCGGGGACAAAAGCUUCAGGAACGUAGCUCUCUUCGGGGAGUGUUAUAGCCUGUUGCAUAAUACCCUUCGGCGGGCUGAGGUACGCGCUCCGCAAGGAUGCUGGCGUAAUGGUCAUCAGCGACCCGUCUUGA